rnacentral:rRNA from 1 species
AAAAAAGGUAAGCUACUAAGAGCGAAUGGUGGAUGCCUUGACUGGUAAAGGCGAUGAAGGACGUACUAGACUGCGAUAAGCUACGGGGAGCUGUCAAGAAGCUUUGAUCCGUAGAUUUCCGAAUGGGGCAACCCAAUGUAUAGAGAUAUACAUUACCUAUAUAGGAGCGAACGAGGGGAAUUGAAACAUCUUAGUACCCUCAGGAAAAGAAAUCAAUAGAGAUUGCGUCAGUAGCGGCGAGCGAAAGCGCAAGAGGGCAAACCCAGUGCUUGCACUGGGGGUUGUAGGACUGCAAUGUGCAAGAGGUAAGUUUAGCAGAACAUUCUGGAAAGUAUAACCAUAGAGGGUGAUAGUCCCGUAUGCGAAAAACAAACCUUAGCUAGCAGUAUCCUGAGUAGGGCGGGACACGAGGAAUCCUGUCUGAAUCUGGGUCGACCACGAUCCAACCCUAAAUACUAAUACCAGAUCGAUAGUGCACAAGUACCGUGAGGGAAAGGUGAAAAGAACUGAGGUGAUCAGAGUGAAAUAGAACCUGAAACCAUUUGCUUACAAUCAUUCAGAGCCCUAUGUAGCAAUACAGGGUGAUGGACUGCCUUUUGCAUAAUGAGCCUGCGAGUUGUGGUGUCUGGCAAGGUUAAGCAAACGCGAAGCCGUAGCGAAAGCGAGUCUGAAUAGGGCGCUUAGUCAGAUGCUGCAGACCCGAAACGAAGUGAUCUAUCCAUGAGCAAGUUGAAGCUAGUGUAAGAACUAGUGGAGGACUGAACCCAUAGGCGUUGAAAAGCCCCGGGAUGACUUGUGGAUAGGGGUGAAAGGCCAAUCAAACUUCGUGAUAGCUGGUUCUCUCCGAAAUAUAUUUAGGUAUAGCGUUGUGUCGUAAUAUAAGGGGGUAGAGCACUGAAUGGGCUAGGGCAUACACCAAUGUACCAAACCCUAUCAAACUCCGAAUACCUUAUAUGUAAUCACAGCAGUCAGGCGGCGAGUGAUAAAAUCCGUCGUCAAGAGGGAAACAACCCAGACUACCAGCUAAGGUCCCUAAAUCUUACUUAAGUGGAAAACGAUGUGAAGUUACUUAAACAACCAGGAGGUUGGCUUAGAAGCAGCCAUCCUUUAAAGAAAGCGUAAUAGCUCACUGGUCUAGUGAUUUUGCGCGGAAAAUAUAACGGGGCUAAAGUAAGUACCGAAGCUGUAGACUUAGUUUACUAAGUGGUAGGAGAGCGU